rnacentral:rRNA from 1 species
UACGUAGGUGGCAAGCGUUGUCCGGAUUUAUUGGGUUUAAAGGGUGCGUAGGCGGUUUUUUAAGUCAGUGCUGAAAUACUCCAGCUUAACUGGAGGGGUGGCAUUGAUACUGGAAGACUUGAGUACAGAUGAGGUAGGCGGAAUUGACGGUGUAGCGGUGAAAUGCAUAGAUAUCGUCAAGAACACCGAUAGCGAAGGCAGCUUACUGGGCUGUAACUGACGCUGAGGAGCGAAAGCGUGGGGAGCGAACAGG